CAACGUUUCAGCUCAAUUCCCUCAAGCUUGAGGGAAUUGAGCUGAAACGUUGACUUUUUAGGUAAUCAAUAAAUAUUUAGUUUUAACAUUUGAACAAGUCCCGAGAGUACUAUCAUGUUCUGGUUUUUGUAUUUUGCUGACAAGCACCGGGCAAGGAACUUUAAUUUAUGGCGUGCAAGAUUCUUAGUUUUUUUGUGUGUGUAUGUAUAUAUGUG